rnacentral:rRNA from 1 species
UACGAGGGGGGCGAGCGUUGUUCGGAAUUAUUGGGCGUAAAGGGCGCGUAGGCGGUGCGGUAAGUCACCUGUGAAACCUCUAGGCUUAACCUAGAGCCUGCAGGCGAAACUGCCGUGCUGGAGUGUGGGAGAGGUGCGUGGAAUUCCCGGUGUAGCGGUGAAAUGCGUAGAGAUGUGGAGGAACACCAGUGGCGAAGGCGACUCUUUGGUCUGUAACUGACGCUGAGGCGCGAAAGCGUGGGGAGCAAACAGG